GUCCCUAUAGCUUAACAUACACAAAGCAUGGCGCUGAAGAUGCCAAGAUGGUAAACACUACCUAGAGACA
rnacentral:tRNA from 1 species